rnacentral:rRNA from 1 species
UACGUAGGUGGCAAGCGUUGUCCGGAAUUACUGGGCGUAAAGCGCGUGUAGGCGGCUAUGUAAGUCGGGCGUGAAAUCCCACGGCUCAACCGUGGAAGUGCACCCGAAACUGCGUAGCUAGAGUCCUGGAGAGGAAGGUGGAAUGCUUGGUGUAGAGGUGAAAUUCGUAGAUAUCAAGCGGAACACCGGUGGCGAAGGCGGCCUUCUGGACAGUGACUGACGCUGAGACGCGAAAGCGUGGGGAGCAAACAGG